rnacentral:lncRNA from 1 species
UUGGAGAAUCGCUUGUAAACUGCACAAACUUAAAACUGGUUUCUGCUCUUUUCAGAGGGGAAGAAACAGCACUGAUUUUCUCAUUCUGGUGAAAGCAUGGGGUGGAAGUAUUGAAGAGGAAGCUGGGCCUGCGUCUUGCAUAUUCCUGGCAGAAUAUUCAUUGAAGAUUAAUGCAUUGCAUGUAAUCAUGCCUUGUAAAAGAUGAAUUGUAUAGACAAUUUGACCAUAGUAAGAAGUUCAUCUUCUUUUUUUUGCCCUUUCCUUGCUAAUACUGUAAUUAAAACUUAAAACAAAAAGGACUCAAGAAACAAAGAAGGCCAGGGGUUCCCCUUAUUUGCAUCUUCAAUAUUUAGCAACGAUACAACAAGAGCAACUUCAACUUACCGACCAAAAACAAAACAAGAAAAACCAUCUUGGUUUUUUUUUCUUGGGUCUGAAAGUGUUACGACUUUAUUGACGCUUUUUCAUUUCUCGAGGAAACUUUGCAGUAAGGCUCUCUCCAUCCAAACCUUUGGUUACCUAUAAUCCCCCUUCAGAGAUGAGCAUAGUAUAG